UGAGGUGUUCCAGGGUAGGGCAUACCACUUCUCCUGGUGCCAUAAUGGCGGCCGAUCCUACACAUGGUACGAUGCCAGCCAUCAUUGUCAGAGGCUGGGCAACGGCUUCCAGGCCGUUAGUAUAGAGCACCCGAACGAAGACAACUUCGUGGCUGGAGUUCUUAGAACAUACCAAAUGAGGGACAUCUGGACAAGCGGCAGUAAGUUGGGCUCUUACCAGUGGUACUGGGAGACGGGUGUCUCCACGGGUUACACAAACUGGUCUAACACCGGCAGACUUGGAAGAAGUCAACCAGACAACGCAGACGGUAACGAGCAGUGCCUGGCUGUGGUGAACAGCUUAGGCGUCGGGUGGCACGAUUCGCGCUGCAACACUCUCCGACCUGUAAUC